rnacentral:miRNA from 1 species
GGGACCGCGGGCGGGCGGCGGCCU